UACAGAGGUCUCAAGCGUUGUUCGGAUUCAUUGGGCGUAAAGGGUGCGUAGGCGGCGCGGUAAGUCGGGUGUGAAAUCUCGGAGCUUAACUCCGAAACUGCAUUCGAUACUGCCGUGCUUGAGGACUGGAGAGGAGAGUAGUGAAUUUACGGUGUAGCGGUGAAAUGCGUAGAUAUCGUAAGGAAGACCAGUGGCGAAGGCGGGUCUCUGGACAGUUCCUGACGCUGAGGCACGAAGGUCAGGGGAGCAAACGGG
rnacentral:rRNA from 1 species